rnacentral:rRNA from 1 species
GACGAACGCUGGCGGCGUGCUUAACACAUGCAAGUCGAACGGUGAAGGGGCCUGCUUUUGUGGGCCCUGGAUGAGUGGCGAACGGGUGAGUAACACGUGAGUAACCUGCCCCCUUCUUCUGGAUAACCGCAUGAAAGUGUGGCUAAUACGGGAUAUUCUGGGUCUGUGGCAUGAUGGGUCUGGGAAAGAUUGCGCCUUUGGGGGUUUUUGGUGGGGGAUGGGCUCGCGGCCUAUCAGCUUGUUGGUGGGGUGAUGGCCUACCAAGGCGGUGACGGGUAGCCGGGCUGAGAGGGUGGACGGUUACACUGGGACUGAGACACGGCCCAGACUCCUACGGGAGGCAGCAGUGGGGAAUAUUGCACAAUGGGCGCAAGCCUGAUGCAGCGACGCCGCGUGAGGGAGGGAGGCCUUCGGGUUGUAAACCUCUUUCGCCAGUGAAGCAGGCCUGCUCCUUGUGGGUGGGUUGACGGUAGCUGGAUAAGAAGCGCCGGCUAACUACGUG